GUGUGGUUUACUGACUGGAGAGCAUUCUGUUAUUUAAUAUGGUAGUCCAUGUAAUGAUAUAUGUGAUUCCGAGAUAAGGGGUGGAUAUUCAACCAUCACAUUCUGUCUUAGGGAUAAACGUGGCGUUGAUUUGAGUUGUGAAUUUUCCGGUGAGAUGGCUAAAAACUUUUAUGCAUCUUGGAGACGCUGUGAUCAGGAUAUCAUUGUGUGAGUGCUUAGAUGGGCGGUUAUUGAUUAUUUUGGAGGCAAGAUCACUAUAUCUUCCACUUCUCCUACUAAGUUCGAACUCAAUCCCCGUAUUCCAGAGUUAGAUGAGUUUUUGGAACAAUAUCCGCAUAAGAGGCCAUGCACGCGUGAUAGUGUGGGACGUCUACAUUGAAUAGUGUUAUGAUGCAUCUUAUUCAGAUAUGCAUAUAUCAUUUUUAAAAACUAUUUACCAUGUAUACAAAUUAUAGUUUAAUUAUUCUU